GAUGAACGCUGGCGGCGUGCCUAAUACAUGCAAGUCGAGCGAACGGACGAGCAGCUUGCUUUUCUGAUGUUAGCGGCGGACGGGGGAGUAACACGUGGAUAACCUACCUAUAAGACUGGGAUAACUUCGGGAAACCGGAGCUAAUACCGGAUAAUAUUUUGAACCGCAUGGUUCAAAAGUGAAAUACGGUCUUGCUGUCACUUAUAGAUGGAUCCGCGCUGCAUUAGCUAGUUGGUAAGGUAACGGCUUACCAAGGCAACGAUGCAUAGCCGACCUGAGAGGCGGAUCGGCCACAUUGGAACUGGAACACGGUCCAUACUCCUGCGGGAGGGAGCAGUAGGGAAUCUUCCGCAGUGGGCGAAAGCCUGACGGAGCAACGCCGAGUGAGUGAUGAAGGUCUUCGGAUCGUAAAACUCUGUUAUUAGGUAAGAACAUAUGUGUAAGUAACUGUGCACAUCUUGACGGUACCUAAUCAGAAAGCCACGGCUAACUACGUG
rnacentral:rRNA from 1 species